ensembl:lncRNA
CACAACUAGAGGCACUCACAACUAGAAUAUACAACUAUAUACCGGGGGAAUUUGUGGGAGAUAAAGCAGAAAAAAAAAUUGGCAACAGUUGUUAGCUCAGGUGCCAAUCUUCGAAAAAAAAGAAUGAAAUUCUGGAUAUAACGUGAAUGUCCAUCACUGGGGACUGGUAAAGGCGACCUUCCACACAAAGGUCAUCGUGGAAUAUUAAUGCUGGAAAGAGAGUCACAUUGUUGCCUAGUGAGGGGAAGGGCAGGUUACAAACAGUAUCUGUAGUGUGACAGCAUUUUGUUGCUAAGAAUACAUAUUUGCUAUAAUAAGAGCUCACAUUGGCUGAGUCACUUUUAGGCAUUAUUUCAACCCUAUACCAUAGACGUUCCAUUUAAAAAAUUUUUUCAAUAAACUUUUUAACAUCAUAGAUGCUCUUUUUUUUUUUUAAAGAUUUUAUUUUUUUUCCUUUUUCUCCCCAAAGCCCCCUGGUACAUAGUUGUAUAUUCUUCGUUGUGGGUCCUUCUAGUUGUGGCAUGUGGGACACCACCCCAGCGUGGCUCAAAGAGCAGUGCCAUGUCCGCGCCCAGGACCCGAACCAACAAAACACCGGGCUGCCUGCAGCGGAGCGCACGAACUUAACCACUCGGCCACGGGGCCGGCCCCAUCAUAGAUGCUCUUUUGAUUUUUAUUUUACAAUUGAGGAAAUGAGGCUGAGAGGGUUUAAGAGACUAGCUCACAUGUGCAUAGCUGGGAUGAGAGGCCAGCUCAGAGAGCCGGUGCAUUGAAUCCCAGAGCAAUGGCCUUCCUCUAAGUAGAGAAAAAGAGCCUUUUCUGCCUGGAGCAUCUUGGGCUUUCUUGUGUUGACCAGAACGCAUUUGCAGGAUUCCCUGACAUGACUGGGGAGUAUUCAGAAGUGGUUCGGGCCCAGGAGAGUCAUGGAGCAAACUGCCCAGGAAGACGGAGCCAUAGCAGGGUAGAGCCUGGAGCUGUGAAGAGGAGGGAGCUUCUUCCUCAGGAAGGUAGAGGGAAAGGCGAGGAAGGAAAUGCGCUUGAGCUGAGCCCACCAGUUGCAUGGAAGUAGGGAGAAAAAAGAAACUUCCCAGGUAGAAAAGGGGGGCUGGAAAGGAUACCCAUAUUGCAGAAUUCCUACAGAAACUUUAUGUUCAAAACUGGCUGCAUCUGGACCCUGCAUUUGCUGAGCAGAAAGAAAAGGAACAAAAAGUCCACAGAUACUGGCCGUUGGACAUGACAGCGAUCGGGAAACAGGGUCCCCUAUCACAAUCUCUACCCCUGGAACUGGCCUCUUUCCCACAGACAGAGGAGUGAGAAGCGCUGAGCUCUGUCCCCUUCGUGUAUUUCUCAGACAAGUCACCUCCCCUCACCGCCGUUCGGUUCCCCCCACGUCAAAGGACUAGAAGAUGAUCAGGUGGGUCUUCCAGAAAACAGAGUCUGAGACGUCAUGAAAGGUGGGCAGAUCUGUGUCUUUUCGUGUUCUGGGCAGAGCUUCACCAACAAGGCUCAGGCAAGGUUGCACUUGAAGUCACAGAUGCAGCCGAUGUUCUGGAGUAAUACCAGGCCUGAGUUCAAGACCCAGCUUCACCAUUUACCCGGAGCAAAUCACUCUACUUUUAUGGGCCUCCGUUUCCCACUUGAAAAAUGAAAAUCAUCCCUUUUUUCCCCCACGGUGAAGCCAAUAAUUUUUUUAAGUAAUAAGAUAAUUGGUAUAAAAUGUUUGGCACAUGGCUGGGCACUGAGGGCUUCAUAAAAGGUACCUCUGUUGGUUAGUUACCGCCAAUAAAUUCCUCUAAAGCCCAUUGUCUCUGUAAAGGGAAAUUGUUACAUUAAAAUAGUUAAGUGAUGUUUUACUGUAGGGGGUAAAAACUGGUAGAACUAGUUGAAGCCAAUUGGUUUUUAUUUUCUGUAAAUCUCACCCAUCUUCUCCCCCUCCGGGUUCGAACAGGGCAUAAGAAUAACUCAGUGGGACUCUGCACUAACGGGGACUCUUGGGGGAAGGACUCUCAUUCUCAGGGAUGUUGGAGGCCUCCUCCAUUCCCAGCAUUGGUCUCCUGCUGGGAGUGACUCAGACCGCUUGGUGGGUGAGGAAGGGGGGUGGUGUCAGAGGUCACUAGACCCAAAAAAGAGAAAAUCUUCCGUUGCCCUGGUGGGGCCUGUUUUACAAUAGAUCAGAACAUCCCUAGGCUCCAGGGGAAACAUCCUGCCUCGCCAUAAACUAAUCCAUUCUGGUGAAGUGAAGGGUGACUCUUGCCCAAGGCACCAAAGGGUGAAAUCCCCGGGUGUGAUGUUUGGGGCUGGCCAGGCCAUUGUGAUGCAGGUUUUGCUUUCUAGCCUCUGCCUUCCCCGAGGCCUCGCUGUGGCUCCAGAAAGCAUCUUGGGGUCUUGCAAACAGUUGCCUGGUUGAGAAGCUUUAUCUAGGGGCUGCUGGAUGGAGUGGCUUUUUUUUUUUUUUUUAGGAAGAUUAGCCCUGAGCUAACAUCUGCUACCAAUCCUCCUCUUUUUGCUGAGGAAGACUGGCCCUGAGCUAACAUCCAUGCCCAUCUUCCUCUACUUUCUAUGUUAGACGCCUACCACAGCAUAGCAUGCCAAGUGGUGCCAUGUCCGCACCCGGGAUCCGAACCAGUGAACCCUGGGCCUCUGAAGCGGAACGUGCACACUUAACCGAUACACCACCAGGCCAGCCCCCUGGAGUGGCUUUUAAAGACGGCAUCAAGGCCAUGGGGUUUGUGAAACGUGAUCUUGGCAGAUAAAGGCAUCUGGUACUAAUUCUUUUUUCCUUUCUGGUGUUGAUUUUUUUUUUUUUUUGACACCUUCAAAGCCACAGAUCAUAGAUCUUAGACAGCUGGAAAGAACCUGAGUGAUCUUCAAACCCAAACCUUUCAUUUCACAGUUGAAGAAACUGUGGCUCAGAGAAGGGAGUUAAUUUGCCUAAGGUCAGCACAGCUAGUGAGCAGCAGAGUUGGAACUCAAACCCUAAUCUCUUGACUCUUGGUCCAGUGCUCUCUGUCCCACUGCAUAACAAUAGUACUGGUAACAACUAUGUGGCAGGCAUUAUAUUAACUGCUUCACACACAUUUAAUCCUCACAACCAUCCUAUGAAGUAAAUACGAUUAUUAUUCCCAUUUUACAGAUGAGGAAAUGGACUCAGAGAAACAAGUUGUAAGUUCAGGGUCACAGCUAACAAAAAACUGAGCCGGGUUUCAAACCUAGGUCUGCUAGAGACCUGGAGCUUGUCAUCAUUAACACAAAGCUAUCGAAGACACAAUAAGUCUUUUCUUGAAGCUGACGGCCUUAACUUCAACACCACCACACCCCCCCCCACCACCACCACUUCACAGGCUUCAGGGAACCCCCAGGGACUGGAGAGUGGAAGAGACUGAAACAAAAGACUCCCUAACUUGUCCCAUCCAGAUGAGUUGUCACUUAGUCCGAGGGCAGCCAAAUGAAAUAGCGUGGCCCUGUGGGUCAUUAGUCAAUUCAGAGGCCACCAGUGGAUUCGAAAUAUGGCCCAACAGCCAAAGCCAUGGGCUAGAGAGUCAAGUCACUGUCAUCUGCCUAUCAAGACUCUCAUCUUCUUGGAGGUUUCCCCAGGGCCCAUCAACAGGUAAUACUGGGGAAGUCUGCACAUGACCCAGGAGGGUGCGAAUGACUGAGCUUAUUGUGAAAGGGGAGAGGGCUGAGGCUGAAGGAAGCAUCUCUUUAGGGAGAGCUGUGGAGCGUGACUCAAGAUUCCGAAGGAGCCUGGGCAAAAGGAACACUCACCCUCACACCCCCUCUGAGGCCGAGGAAGCUGGUAACUAACCUCUCUCACCAGGCACAUCUGCCCUGGGCUGAGGGCCCUGGGCGGCAGGCACAAAGCGACAAGACAAGGAACUCACUGUUUUGCCAAGAAGGCAAGAUAUGCCCAUCCCUAAUGAUAACAACAAUAUCAGGACUUAGGGUGCUACAUGCUUUGCAUGUGUUACCUCAUUUAAUCUUUGCAAAAACCCUACAAUGUAAAAGUUAUGCCUAUUUUAAAGAUGAAGAAACUGGGGCUCAGAGAGUUCAAAGGACUAGCCCAAGGUCAUAGGUAGUAAAUGGGAGAGCCAAGAUUUAAACUCGAGUAGUGUGGUUCCAAAAUCCAAGCUCUCAACUAGAUGCGCUCUGUGUGUGUGUGUAUGUGUCCACGCACGCUGGGCAGGUGCUCUGCAACACAGCUUCCUGCAUCACCUAGAGGGGGAGAUCAGAGAACUUUCACAAAGUCCUCCAACACAUGAGCAUCUAUGAAAUUUGGUAACAAAACUGACUUUACAAAAAUUCAGUUGUAAAUAGAGAAAAAGGAGAAAAGGUUUUCCCGAGUAGAGGGGUUGCACGAAGUUUCCCUCAGUGGGCUUCUGCACAGGCAGAAAUAUGCCUCAUUUGUUUCUGUCUCAGCCUGGGGUACAGAAGCCCGGCCAGGGCAGGUCCUCACUCAGUUCAUGACUGACUGCUUGCUGAGGCAACAUAAAUGGUGGUUCUGGGCUUGAGCUUUUGAGCCACGCAGCCUGGGUUCAAAUUCCAGCUUGGUCGGUGGUGCUGCGUGACCCGAUCAAGUUUUAAGGCUCUCUGGGCCUCGGUCUCUGCAUAUAUAAAGCAGAGGUGCUGACUGUACCUAAAUCCCUGGGCAGCUGCAAGGAUUGAGUGAGACGGGGCAGAGAAGAUGCGUAGCACGGUCUGGCAUAUAAAGUGCUCAAAAAGUGAGAGAUACCACUAUAAUUUUUAAUGAUAAAUAAAUCUACAUAUUCAUUGGAUGAAUAAAUGAAUAAUGCGUGAAUAUAGAUAGCUGGGUCUUGAAGUGGAGGAGAUUCCGAGCAACUGGGGAAUGGGAGGUAGCGGUGACAGAACCAAAUAAAUGAACCCAGUCUGGGAGGGAAAGCUGACCACAGCACAGUGUGAGCCCAGGCAGUGUGGGCAGCCUGUCCAGAGCACAGGCUGAAAGGGUGAGCAGGGACCACGGCACGACGUGCGCCCAGGCAGUGCGGGCAGCCUGUCCAGAGCACAGGCUGAAAGGGUGAGCAGGGACAAGGGAGAGGUGGUGAGGUUGACGGUGACUUUUGAGUGGCAGCCUUCCUGAGGGAACUGUUGGAGGAGCCUGAACUUGGUGCAAGACAUGGUUCUUAGGUCCCUCCAGGCCACAGUUUCUAAGUCCUUCCCAUUCCCCACUGCUUGACCACCUGCCCCCAAACUGAGGGCCUUAAAAAUCUUCUGGGCACAGGGGCUGGCCCAGUGGCAAAGCAGUUAAGCAUGCAUGUUCCGC